rnacentral:rRNA from 1 species
GAUCCUGGCUCAGGACGAACGCUGGCGGCGCGCCUAACACAUGCAAGUCGAACGAGCGAGAGAGAGCUUGCUUUCUCGAGCGAGUGGCGAACGGGUGAGUAACGCGUGAGGAACCUGCCUCAAAGAGGGGGACAACAGUUGGAAAUGACUGCUAAUACCGCAUAAGCCCACGACCCGGCAUCGGGUAGAGGGAAAAGGAGCGAUCCGCUUUGAGAUGGCCUCGCGUCCGAUUAG